rnacentral:rRNA from 1 species
CAGUAGCCGCGGUAAUACGUAGGGUGCAAGCGUUGUCCGGAAUUAUUGGGCGUAAAGAGCUCGUAGGCGGUUUGUCGCGUCUGCUGUGAAAACUGGAGGCUCAACCUCCAGCCUGCAGUGGGUACGGGCAGACUAGAGUGCGGUAGGGGAGAUUGGAAUUCCUGGUGUAGCGGUGGAAUGCGCAGAUAUCAGGAGGAACACCGAUGGCGAAGGCAGAUCUCUGGGCCGUAACUGACGCUGAGGAGCGAAAGCAUGGGGAGCGAACAGGAUUAGAUACCCGAGUAGUCCCUGUCUCUUAUAA